AAACUAACAAGGAUUCCCCUAGUAGCGGCGAGCGAAGCGGGAAGAGCUCAAAUUUAUAAUCUGGCACCUUCGGUGUCCGAGUUGUAAUCUCUAGAAAUGUUUUCCGCGUUGGACCGCACACAAGUCUGUUGGAAUACAGCGGCAUAGUGGUGAGACCCCCGUAUAUGGUGCGGACGCCCAGCGCUUUGUGAUACAUUUUCGAAGAGUCGAGUUGUUUGGGAAUGCAGCUCAAAUUGGGUGGUAAAUUCCAUCUAAAGCUAAAUAUUGGCGAGAGACCGAUAGCGAACAAGUACCGUGAGGGAAAGAUGAAAAGCACUUUGGAAAGAGAGUUAACAGUACGUGAAAUUGUUGGAAGGGAAACGCUUGAAGUCAGACUUGCUUGCCGAGCAAUCGGUUUGCAGGCCAGCAUCAGUUUUCCGGGAUGGAUAAUGGUAGAGAGAAGGUAGCAGUUUCGGCUGUGUUAUAGCUCUCUGCUGGAUACAUCUUGGGGGACUGAGGAACGCAGUGUGCCUUUGGCGGGGGUUUCGACCUCUUCACACUUAGGAUGCUGGUGGAAUGGCUUUAAACGA
rnacentral:rRNA from 1 species